rnacentral:rRNA from 1 species
UCGGACGUCAAUUGGGAUGACUUAGUGGCGGACGGGUGAGUAACGCGUGGGUAACCUGCCGUAUACAGGGGGAUAACAGUUAGAAAUGACUGCUAAUACCGCAUAAGCGCACAGAACCGCAUGGUACAGUGUGAAAAGCCGAGACGGUAUACGAUGGACCCGCGUCUGAUUAGCCAGUUGGCAGGGUAACGGCCUACCAAAGCAACGAUCAGUAGCCGGCCUGAGAGGGUGAACGGCCACAUUGGGACUGAGACACGGCCCAAACUCCUACGGGAGGCAGCAGUGGGGGAUAUUGCACAAUGGGGGAAACCCUGAUGCAGCGACGCCGCGUGAGUGAAGAAGUAUUUCCGGUAUGUAAAGCUCUAUCAGCAGGGAAGAAAAUGACGGUACCUGACUAAGAAGCUCCGGCUAAAUACGUGCC